rnacentral:rRNA from 1 species
CGGACGGGUGAGUAAUGUCUGGGAAACUGCCUGAUGGAGGGGGAUAACUACUGGAAAACGGUAGCUAAUACCGCAUAACGUCGCAAGACCAAAGAGGGGGACCUUCGGGCCUCUUGCCAUCGGAUGUGCCCAGAUGGGAUUAGCUAGUAGGUGGGGUAACGGCUCACCUAGGCGACGAUCCCUAGCUGGUCUGAGAGGAUGACCAGCCACACUGGAACUGAGACACGGUCCAG